GGUAGGGUGGCAGUGGAAGGCUUAAUCAGAGUGGAUUCUGGAACAUUCAGGACUGCGGCACCUUGUAUCUGGACAGGGAUUUGGGACUGUGCAGGAGACGACUGGUGGUCCAGUGUGGCUUAAGGACUUGAUGGCGUAACCCACUUCUUCCACGAACUAUGAGGAAGAGCUUAAAAUGCCUCAAACUUUUUUUUUUUUUUUUGGAGGGAGGAGACUGGGGAGAUGGAUUUGAAGAGGAUUGAACAAAUUGGAAGAAAAUAUUUGUCCUCUGCUUUGGUGUCAGAAAAGGGAAUUUUCCAAUCUGCCACACCUCAGUGUUGCGGCAAAAAUAAUUCUUGGCUCCCCUGGAAACUAUCGGGCAAGGUAGGGCAGAACUGCUGCUGCUGUCGCCAUUACCCUGGGCUUCCUAUUGAAUGGGCUGCUCCCAAGUGAACAGAUCUGCGUUGAUGCUCUGGUCGUCCAAAAGUCCUCAAAUCAGCUCUGAGCUGAGCCCACUAUUGGAAGAAUCUGCCUUUUGGAAGUUGACGCUACCUUGUGCUUGGGAAGAUUUGGCUCAAGCACUCUUUCCCUGCCUGGAGACUUAUUGGGGAUGUAAAAUGAGAGAAUAGCAGGUGACCAGCAAAUUAGGGGAGGAUUAAAUACUUCCAAGUUGUCACAGCAAGAAGAAAGAGGAAUAUCUCAGGAGUUUGACCUCAAGCCUACAAAGUGGUGGUAUUCUACCAAGAUGUCUGUAUGCUUCAUGAUGCUGUUGAGUCCUGUGGGAGGAGAAUCUGAGCACCCUGAUGCCCCUUAUCCCCAAUACUGCACUGUGGAGCUGAGAGUGACAACAGCCAAGAAUUCUGUAGAGUACAGCUCCAUCUGUAAGUAGAUGACAAUUUCUUGGCAACACAGGCUCAGCUGAGGAUGGUGUUUGUGCAUCUAAGCCAUCAUGCUAGAGCAGUUUGCCUACAUUUUUGUGGAACGGCAAAGAGGACCUGCUUGACCACCCUUCUUUCUGUGGGUACUGAAAGAUGAAAAGUCAUGCUGGAUGAGGUUGCUGAGGUGGGAUGAGGGCCAGUAGGAUGCCAUGUAUAGAGAAGGAAAGACUUGGAGCACUCCAUGUGGCCAAAGGUGGUUAUGCCCUACAUCAAACCCCAGCUUCCAGUGUCUCCUCUGUUUCCUGCUUGAUUUGCUCUGCUCAAAGACAUCUUUUGACCUUUUCUCAUUCCUUUGGACCUUUUGCUCUCUCUGUUUUCAUCUACCCCUGCCUGUUCUUCCAUUUGUUUUUUUCUUUAGGAUGAAUGAAAAUAUUCUCAGCUAUUGAUCCAGCAGCUAUAUUUA
rnacentral:lncRNA from 1 species